rnacentral:sRNA from 2 species
CUUCGCGUCAUCGGGGAGUAGUCGCCCGCGCGUUCAGCGGGGCCCGCGUCAACAGACUUCCUCUCGCCCGGAGAGGAUGGCGCGAGCGGAGCAUUUCAUGGCGAGACCAUUGGGUCUGCCGACCGUCCCUCAGGCAGCGAGGCUCC